UACGUAGGGGCCGAGCGUUGUCCGGAGUUACUGGGCGUAAAGCGCGCGCAGGCGGCUCGUCAAGCCUGACGUGAAAUCCCUCGGCUUAACCGGGGAACUGCGUCUGAUACUGGAUGGCUUGAGUUUGGGAGAGGGAUGCGGAAUUCCAGGUGUAGCGGUGAAAUGCGUAGAUAUCUGGAGGAACACCGGUGGCGAAGGCGGCAUCCUGGACCAACACUGACGCUGAGUGAGCGAAAGCCAGGGGAGCAAACGGG
rnacentral:rRNA from 1 species